AGUAUUUCCCUCCAGAGUGUAGCUCCUGUGAAAUGCUCCAAGAUGAUCUUGGAUGCAAAUUCAGCCAUGCAAGAGUGAUGAAAUGCUUGCAUUAUUUCCAAAGAUGAAUUAAAACAAUGAGGCAGCUCUUCAUUUGUCAAGAUCCAGCACAAAGGUGCUCAAGAAAUAUUGAUAUGAACAAAAAUCAAACCAAUCUGGCUAAGGAUUCUCUACACUGGAAAUUACCUGUGGACAAGUUACUCUGUAGCCAGGGUGCUGGUACCAUCCAAACAGAUAAUUCAGAGGAGACAGGGGACACCAAAAUAAUAAGAUUUUCAAAGGAUUCUGUGAGGCCCCCAAAACUUGAGAACCUCUUGGAUUCAUCUGUCCACUCUGGUUUCUACCCCCAGAAUCUAACGUGGCCUCACUCCUAGAUUACCUCCAGCACAAGAGAAAGUGCAUAUUCUGUCUGCUCUACUGGGCCAGGAGAGGAGGGAAAGAACAGGAGACAGUAAGGAUAAAAUGAAAGCAACAUAAAUGCGCAGCGUAAAAUAGAAAAAGCAGCUAUUGCAUCUCCCUCAUUUCAGAUUAUUUGUCAGAUAUGCCCUUCCCCACACAUGUGCAUAUGCAUGUUCCUUUACAUCACAGUUCUGUCCAUCUGCCCGUCCCACUAGACCAUGAAUCCUUGGCAAUCAAGACCAUAACUCUCAUAGCACCCAACACAAUAACUGCUCUGUAAUACAUUCCCAAUAAGUAUUUGCUAAAUUUAAUUGAAGCAAAUUAAUAGAAGACAUAUUGUGCAUAGUUCCUAUAAUUAUAUACAGACUGAGGCCCAGAACUGAACCAUUAGCCAUGGUACUGGUAUGACUGUCAACCCAGACUCCCAGGCAACCGUGCAAAUGGAAU